GUAGGUGGCAAGCGUUGUCCGGAAUUAUUGGGCGUAAAGCGCGCGCAGGUGGUUCUUUAAGUCUGAUGUGAAAGACCCCCGGGCUCGAACCGGGGAGGGUCAUUGGAAACUGGGGAACUUGAGUGCAGGAGAGGAAAGUGGAAUUCCACGUGUAGCGGUGAAAUGCGUAGAUAUGUGGAGGAACACCAGUGGCGAAGGCGACUUUCUGGCCUGUAACUGACACUGAGGCGCGAAAGCGGUGGGGAGACAAACAGGAUUAGAUACCCUGGUAGUCCACGCCGUAAACGAUGAGUGCUAAGUGUUGGGGGGGUUUCCGCCCCUCUGUGCUGCAGCUAACGCAUUAAGCACUCCGCCUGGGGAGUACGGUCGCAAAGACUG
rnacentral:rRNA from 1 species